UACGUAGGGUGCAAGCGUUAAUCGGAAUACUGGGCGUAAAGCGUGCGCAGGCGGUUCUAUAAGACAGAUGUGAAAUCCCCGGGCUCAACCUGGGAACUGCAUUUGUGACUGUAGAGCUGGAGUACGGCAGAGGGGGAUGGAAUUCCGCGUGUAGCAGUGAAAUGCGUAGAUAUGCGGAGGAACACCGAUGGCGAAGGCAAUCCCCUGGGCCUGUACUGACGCUCAUGCACGAAAGCGUGGGGAGCAAACAGG
rnacentral:rRNA from 1 species